CUGGCGGCAUGCCUUACACAUGCAAGUCGAACGGCAGCACGGGAGCAAUCCUGGUGGCGAGUGGCGAACGGGUGAGUAAUAUAUCGGAACGUGCCCAGUCGUGGGGGAUAACGUAGCGAAAGCUACGCUAAUACCGCAUACGAUCUACGGAUGAAAGCGGGGGAUCGCAAGACCUCGCGCGAUUGGAGCGGCCGAUAUCAGAUUAGGUAGUUGGUGAGGUAAAGGCUCACCAAGCCGACGAUCUGUAGCUGGUCUGAGAGGACGACCAGCCACACUGGGACUGAGACACGGCCCAGACUCCUACGGGAGGCAGCAGUGGGGAAUUUGGACAAUGGGCGCAAGCCUGAUCCAGCAAUGCCGCGUGCAGGAUGAAGGCCUUCGGGUUGUAAACUGCUUUUGUACGGAACGAAACGGUGAGCUCUAAUACAGUUUGCUAAUGACGGUACCGUAAGAAUAAGCACCGGCUAACUACGUG
rnacentral:rRNA from 1 species